rnacentral:rRNA from 1 species
CCUACGGGUGGCAGCAGUGGGGAAUAUUGCACAAUGGGGGAAACCCUGAUGCAGCGACGCCGCGUGAGUGAAGAAGUAUUUCGGUAUGUAAAGCUCUAUCAGCAGGGAAGAAAAUGACGGUACCUGAUUAAGAAGCCCCGGCUAACUACGUGCCAGCAGCCGCGGUAAUACGUAGGGGGCAAGCGUUAUCCGGAUUUACUGGGUGUAAAGGGAGCGUAGACGGCAGCACAAGUCUGGAGUGAAAUGCCGGGGCUUAACCCCGUCGAGCCGUUGAAACUGGCAGACUUGAGUUGGCGAGAAGUACGCGGAAUGCGCGGUGUAGCGGUGAAAUGCAUAGAUAUCGCGCAGAAUUCCGAUUGCGAAGGCAGCGUACCGGCGCCAGACUGACGCUGAGGCACGAAAGCGUGGGGAUCGAACAGGAUUAGAUACCCCUGUAGUC